UACGUAGGGUGCAAGCGUUGUCCGGAAUUAUUGGGCGUAAAGAGCUCGUAGGCGGUUUGUCGCGUCGGCUGUGAAAUCCCGGAGCUCAACUCCGGGCCUGCAGUCGAUACGGGCAGACUUGAGUGUUGCAGGGGAGACUGGAAUUCCUGGUGUAGCGGUGAAAUGCGCAGAUAUCAGGAGGAACACCGGUGGCGAAGGCGGGUCUCUGGGCAACAACUGACGCUGAGGAGCGAAAGCGUGGGGAGCGAACAGG
rnacentral:rRNA from 1 species